UGUCCAGGGAUGGGAAUCGAACCCACAGUGUUCCGCUUACCGGGCAGAUGCCAUGUCCACUGGGCUACCCAGGAC
rnacentral:tRNA from 1 species